CUUCAGUUGAGGGAUCCCUCAAAUAGUGUUAUUUGAGGGAUGGGGUGCUUAACCGUUGGAUCUGUUUUAAUGACCUUGUGUGGCUGAGAUUGAAUUACAUCUUUUAACCCGUUUUCACACUCCUGACCCGCCACAAACUCCACUUACGCUUGGGAACGACGUACGCUGGGAAACCUAACAUCUUUCUUCUUCCUCCAACUCUUGGAGACCUUUCACGCGUACCAAACGACGUGAAGAAGAAGACUCACCGUCGUCAGUUGAAGAAGAAGACCCACCAUCGUCAGUUGAAGAAGAAGACCCACCAUCUAUGCGACAGAGGGACGAAGUGCUGCUAGAACAAGAUGUCAACCCAAUUCAGGAUGAGGGUCCAGUAAUUCACAACAGUACUUCUCAGUUACAAAGUAGUAAAAGAUGAUUGUUGAUUUUGCUAUACUAGUUCAGUAUCUUAGUUCAAUCUCAUGGGGCUCUGUUUUUUGUACAUCAGAUAGAAUAGAAGGUUUGUAGUGGAGUAAUCUAGUUCGUUCACUCUUGAAGUCCAACAUCUGAUGUACUCUGGAUCUAAUCUUUGCUGGUGUUCGUUUAAGCUCAAUAAAGAUUUUGUAGCUCUUUUCUGUAAUAAGGAUGGAUUUUGUAGCUCUUUUCUGUAAUGGAUGUUGUACAAAAUUGUUUUUCCCUUCUGUAAUGAAUACUCGAUGUUAUUAAGUUUAUUUUAUCUUAGUAAUGAAAACUUUAUUCAGUUCAUAGUGUGGCAGUUUUUC